ACCUAGGGUUAGGGUUAGGGUUAGAAUUAACUCUGGCUUUAAUACGCUCUUAUUUGGUCUAAUGGAUGUUAAGAAAAAGUAUAAUACAACUUUUAACAACGGAUCUCUUGGCUCUUGCAUCGAUGAAGAACGCAGCGAAAUGCGAUACGUAAUGUGAAUUGCAGAAUUCCAGUGAAUCAUCGAAUCUUUGAACGCACCUUGCACUCUCUGGUAUUCCGGAGAGUACGCCUAUUCGAGUGUUAUAAGACUCUCAAGCAAAUUGUUAAUUUUUGCUUGGAUUUGGACUGUGCCGUGUCUACGGCUGGUCUUAAAGAUAUUAGCUGGUUCCUUUAUUGAUUCAUAGGCAAAGAUCAUCUGGUUGGGAUCAACCUUGACGUGAUAAUUAUCUAACGUUGAGGACAGUCUUUUGAUUAAGACUGGGCCAGAGCCUUUUGUAAUCAUUGGGGAUUGCUUUCUAACCGGACCCGGACCAUUAGACAAAGUGUAACCUCGAAUUAGGUGGGAUUACCCGCUGAACU
rnacentral:misc_RNA from 1 species